UACGGAGGGUGCAAGCGUUAUUCGGAAUUACUGGGCGUAAAGCGCACGUAGGCGGCCUUGUAAGUCAGGGGUGAAAUCCCACGGCUCAACCGUGGAACUGCCUUUGAAACUGCAGGGCUUGAAUCCUGGAGAGGGUGGCGGAAUUCCUGGUGUAGGAGUGAAAUCCGUAGAUAUCAGGAGGAACACCGGUGGCGAAGGCGGCCCCCUGGACAGGUAUUGACGCUGAGGUGCGAAAGUGUGGGGAGCAAACAGG
rnacentral:rRNA from 1 species